CGUACGCACAUAUUCAAAUGAAGCAAAUUUAUCGAGUGCCUUUCGAGCGCAAUUCCGAAAGGGUGAAACGACUGCGGCAUGAUUAUGCAGAGAGUUUUACGAAUGAAUGGAGAGGAGAUCCAGCAUGAGUUCAUUUACGUAGAUGAGGCUGGGUUCAACCUGACGAGAACACGAAGGAGGGGAAGAAACAUAAUUGGCCACAGGGCUAUAGUCAAUGUCCCAGGGCAACGUGGGGGUAAUAUAACACUCUGUGCAGCCAUUACACAGAAUGGGGUCCUCCACCGCCAUGCCCAUAUGGGCCCUUACAACACAGCACUCAUACUUACAUUCUUGGACCAAUUGCACAACAUAACAGCAGCAAAUCAAAUCGAUCAUAUGCAAUACAUUGUUGUCUGGGACAAUGUGUCUUUCCACCGCUCUGCUCUGGUUCAGAACUGGUUUCAGCAACAUCCACAUUUCACCGUCCUAUAUCUUCCACCAUACUCUCCAUUCCUCAACCCUAUAGAAGAGUUUUUCUCGGCAUGGCGGUGGAAGGUAUAUGAUCUCCGUCUCCAGGCUGAGGUACCCCUCAUCCAAGCCAUGGAGGAGGCCUGUGACCAGAUGGAGGUAGCAGCAAUGCAAAGAUGGAUUCGUCAUUCAAGACGUUUCUUUCCAAGGUGUCUUGCUAAUGACAACAUUGCCUGCGAUGUUGAUGAAAUUCUCUGGCCAGAUCCAGCUAGGCGAAGAGACAAUGUCUAGUUAUUUAUUUUUUAUUUUUUUUGAACUUACAAUACGUAAAGUGAUGUUUGGUUACAGUAUUAUGAAUCUCCAUGUCAACAUUUUGGGCGUGUUGAGAAAUAAAUUAGUUUCUUCAGUC